UACGAAGGGGGCUAGCGUUGUUCGGAUUUACUGGGCGUAAAGCGCGCGUAGGCGGAUUGUUAAGUUAGAGGUGAAAUCCCAGAGCUCAACUCUGGAACUGCCUUUAAUACUGGCAAUCUUGAGUCCGAGAGAGGUGAGUGGAACUCCUAGUGUAGAGGUGGAAUUCGUAGAUAUUAGGAAGAACACCAGUGGCGAAGGCG
rnacentral:rRNA from 1 species